AUUCUAGAGCUAAUACAUGCUUAAAGACCCAACUGCUUGUCGGACGGGUUCCAUUUAUUAAAUUAAACCCAAUAUCCUCCGAAUUUUUUAAGUUGAGUCAAAAUAACUGUGCGGAUCCCGUUUUUCACAAUAAAUCGAAUGAUUUUCUGCCCUAUCAACUUUCGAUGGUAGGAUAUAGGCCUACCUUGGCUUAAACGGUUAACGGGGAAUUGGGUUUUGAUUCCGGAAAGGGACCCUUAGAAACGGCUACCACAUCCAAGGAAGGCAUCAGGCCCAUAAAUUCCCCAAUCCUGACACAGGGAGGUAGUGACAAUAAAUAACAAUGCCGGGCUUUUUCAAGUCUGGCAAUUGGAAUGAAAACAAUUUAAAUCCCUUAUCGAGGAUCAAUU
rnacentral:rRNA from 1 species